rnacentral:rRNA from 1 species
AUUGAACGCUGGCGGCAUGCCUUACACAUGCAAGUCGAACGGCAGCACGGGGGCGAACCCUGGUGGCGAGUGGCGAACGGGUGAGUAAUGCAUCGGAACGUGCCCAGUAGUGGGGAUAACUAGUCGAAAGAUUAGCUAAUACCGCAUACGACCUAUGGGUGGAAAGCGGGGGAGUGCAGCACUUAAUUGUUUUGGGAUGGCUACUUGUGGCCGCCUCGGACAGUCUCGAGGUUGAGAACAUUAAGUGCU